UACGAAGGGUGCAAACGUUGCUCGGAAUUAUUGGGCGUAAAGCGCACGUAGGCGGCUUUGCAAGUCGGAUGUGAAAUCCCUCGGCUCAACCAAGGAAGUGCAUCCGAAACUGCAGAGCUUGAGUACCAAAGAGGAUCGCGGAAUUCCCGGUGUAGAGGUGAAAUUCGUAGAUAUCGGGAGGAACACCGGUGGCGAAGGCGGCGACCUGGGUCGAUACUGACGCUGAGGCGCGAAAGCCAGGGGAGCAAACGGG
rnacentral:rRNA from 1 species